rnacentral:rRNA from 1 species
GAAAUCAACCGAGAUUCCCCCAGUAGCGGCGAGCGAACGGGGAGCAGCCCAGAGCCUGAAUCAGUGUGUGUGUUAGUGGAAGCGUCUGGAAAGGCGCGCGAUACAGGGUGACAGCCCCGUACACAAAAAUGCACAUAUUGUGAGCUCGAUGAGUAGGGCGGGACACGUGGUAUCCUGUCUGAAUAUGGGGGGACCAUCCUCCAAGGCUAAAUACUCCUGACUGACCGAUAGUGAACCAGUACCGUGAGGGAAAGGCGAAAAGAACCCCGGCGAGGGGAGUGAAAAAGAACCUGAAACCGUGUACGUACAAGCAGUGGGAGCACGCUUAGGCGUGUGACUGCGUACCUUUUGUAUAAUGGGUCAGCGACUUAUAUUCUGUAGCAAGGUUAACCGAAUAGGGGAGCCGAAGGGAAACCGAGUCUUAACUGGGCGUUAAGUUGCAGGGUAUAGACCCGAAACCCGGUGAUCUAGCCAUGGGCAGGUUGAAGGUUGGGUAACACUAACUGGAGGACCGAACCGACUAAUGUUGAAAAAUUAGCGGAUGACUUGUGGCUGGGGGUGAAAGGCCAAUCAAACCGGGAGAUAGCUGGUUCUCCCCGAAAGCUAUUUAGGUAGCGCCUCGUGAAUUCAUCUCCGGGGGUAGAGCACUGUUUCGGCAAGGGGGUCAUCCCGACUUACCAACCCGAUGCAAACUGCGAAUACCGGAGAAUGUUAUCACGGGAGACACACGGCGGGUGCUAACGUCCGUCGUGAAGAGGGAAACAACCCAGACCGCCAGCUAAGGUCCCAAAGUCAUGGUUAAGUGGGAAACGAUGUGGGAAGGCCCAGACAGCCAGGAUGUUGGCUUAGAAGCAGCCAUCAUUUAAAGAAAGCGUAAUAGCUCACUGGUCGAGUCGGCCUGCGCGGAAGAUGUAACGGGGCUAAACCAUGCACCGAAGCUGCGGCAGCGACGCUUAUGCGUUGUUGGGUAGGGGAGCGUUCUGUAAGCCUGCGAAGGUGUGCUGUGAGGCAUGCUGGAGGUAUCAGAAGUGCGAAUGCUGACAUAAGUAACGAUAAAGCGGGUGAAAAGCCCGCUCGCCGGAAGACCAAGGGUUCCUGUCCAACGUUAAUCGGGGCAGGGUGAGUCGACCCCUAAGGCGAGGCCGAAAGGCGUAGUCGAUGGGAAACAGGUUAAUAUUCCUGUACUUGGUGUUACUGCGAAGGGGGGACGGAGAAGGCUAUGUUGGCCGGGCGACGGUUGUCCCGGUUUAAGCGUGUAGGCUGGUUUUCCAGGCAAAUCCGGAAAAUCAAGGCUGAGGCGUGAUGACGAGGCACUACGGUGCUGAAGCAACAAAUGCCCUGCUUCCAGGAAAAGCCUCUAAGCAUCAGGUAACAUCAAAUCGUACCCCAAACCGACACAGGUGGUCAGGUAGAGAAUACCAAGGCGCUUGAGAGAACUCGGGUGAAGGAACUAGGCAAAAUGGUGCCGUAACUUCGGGAGAAGGCACGCUGAUAUGUAGGUGAAGUCCCUUGCGGAUGGAGCUGAAAUCAGUCGAAGAUACCAGCUGGCUGCAACUGUUUAUUAAAAACACAGCACUGUGCAAACACGAAAGUGGACGUAUACGGUGUGACGCCUGCCCGGUGCCGGAAGGUUAAUUGAUGGGGUCAGCGCAAGCGAAGCUCUUGAUCGAAGCCCCGGUAAACGGCGGCCGUAACUAUAACGGUCCUAAGGUAGCGAAAUUCCUUGUCGGGUAAGUUCCGACCUGCACGAAUGGCGUAAUGAUGGCCAGGCUGUCUCCACCCGAGACUCAGUGAAAUUGAACUCGCUGUGAAGAUGCAGUGUACCCGCGGCAAGACGGAAAGACCCCGUGAACCUUUACUAUAGCUUGACACUGAACAUUGAGCCUUGAUGUGUAGGAUAGGUGGGAGGCUUUGAAGUGUGGACGCCAGUCUGCAUGGAGCCGGCCUUGAAAUACCACCCUUUAAUGUUUGAUGUUCUAACGUGGACCCGUGAUCCGGGUUGCGGACAGUGUCUGGUGGGUAGUUUGACUGGGGCGGUCUCCUCCUAAAGAGUAACGGAGGAGCACGAAGGUUGGCUAAUCCUGGUCGGACAUCAGGAGGUUAGUGCAAUGGCAUAAGCCAGCUUGACUGCGAGCGUGACGGCGCGAGCAGGUGCGAAAGCAGGUCAUAGUGAUCCGGUGGUUCUGAAUGGAAGGGCCAUCGCUCAACGGAUAAAAGGUACUCCGGGGAUAACAGGCUGAUACCGCCCAAGAGUUCAUAUCGACGGCGGUGUUUGGCACCUCGAUGUCGGCUCAUCACAUCCUGGGGCUGAAGUAGGUCCCAAGGGUAUGGCUGUUCGCCAUUUAAAGUGGUACGCGAGCUGGGUUUAGAACGUCGUGAGACAGUUCGGUCCCUAUCUGCCGUGGGCGCUGGAGAACUGAGGGGGGCUGCUCCUAGUACGAGAGGACCGGAGUGGACGCAUCACUGGUGUUCGGGUUGUCAUGCCAAUGGCACUGCCCGGUAGCUAAAUGCGGAAGAGAUAAGUGCUGAAAGCAUCUAAGCACGAAACUUGCCCCGAGAUGAGUUCUCCCUGACCCUUUAAGGGUCCUGAAGGAACGUUGAAGACGACGACGUUGAUAGGCCGGGUGUGUAAGCGCAGCGAUGCGUUGAGCUAACCGGUACUAAUGAACCGUGAG